rnacentral:rRNA from 1 species
ACUCAAAUGAAUUGACGGGGGCCCGCACAAGCGGUGGAGUAUGUGGUUUAAUUCGACGCAACGCGAAGAACCUUACCAGGCCUUGACAUGCCUCCUAUGGACCCAAGAGAUUGGGUUCUUCACUUCGGGUGGGGAGUGCACAGGUGCUGCAUGGCUGUCGUCAGCUCGUGUCGUGAGAUGUUGGGUUAAGUCCCGCAACGAGCGCAACCCUUAUUGUCAGUUGCUACCAGGUUAUGCUGGGCACUCUGAUAAAACUGCCGGUGACAAGCCGGAGGAAGGCGGGGAUGACGUCAAGUCCUCAUGGCCCUUACGGCCUGGGCUACACACGUACUACAAUGGUGGUGACAGUGGGCUGCGAACGCGCAAGCGGGAGCGAACCCCCAAAAGCCACCUCAGUUCAGAUUGCACUCUGCAACUCGAGUGCAUGAAGUUGGAAUCGCUAGUAAUCGCAGAUCAGCACGCUGCGGUGAAUACGUUCCCGGGCCUUGUACACACCGCCCGU